AGAGUUUGAUCAUGGCUCAGAUUGAACGUUAGCGGCAGGCUUCAAGCAUGCAAGUCGAACGAGGAAACGUACUUCGGUACGUCUACUAGUGGCGAACGGGUGAGUAACGCGUAGGAAUCUGCCCGGCAGUGGGGGACAACUCGAGGAAACUCGAGCUAAUACCGCAUGUGACCCAAGGGUGAAAGCGGGGGAUCCGUAAGGACCUCGCGCUGUCGGAGGAGCCUGCGUUGGAUUAGCUUGUUGGUAGGGUAAUGGCCUACCAAGGCGACGAUCCAUAGCUGGUUUGAGAGGACGACCAGCCACAUUGGAACUGAGACACGGUCCAGACUUCUACGGGAGGCAGCAGCUAGGAAUCUUGCGCAAUGGGCGAAAGCCUGACGCAGCCAUGCCGCGUGUGUGAAGAAGGCCUUAGGGUUGUAAAGCACUUUCAGUCGUGAAGAAACCCCCGAAGCUAAUACCUUCGGGUCUUGACGUUAGCGACACAAGAAGCACCGGCAAACUUCGUGCCAGCAGCCGCGGUAAUACGGAGGGUGCGAACGUUAAUCGGAAUUACUGGGCGUAAAGCGCACGUAGGCGGUUUGGAAAGUGAGGCGUGAAAGCUCCGGGCUUAACCUGGAAACUGCGUCUCAAACUGCCAGACUUGAGUGUAGUAGAGGGAGGUGGAAUUUCCUGUGUAGCGGUGGAAUGCGUAGAGAUAGGACGGAACACCAGUGGCGAAGGCGGCCUCCUGGACUAACACUGACGCUGAGGUGCGAAAGCGUGGGGAGCAAACAGCGAUUAGAUACCCUGGUAGUCCACGCCGUAAACGAUGAGAACUAGCUGUCGGGUCCUUCGGGACUUGGUGGCGUAGCUAACGCGAUAAGUUCUCCGCCUGGGGAGUACGGCCGCAAGGUUAAAACUCAAAUGAAUUGACGGGAGCCCGCACAAGCGGUGGAGCAUGUUACUUAAUUCGAUGCAACGCGAAGAACCUUACCACCUCUUGACAUCCACGGAACCCUCCAGAGACGGAGGGGUGCCUUCGGGAACCGUGUGACAGGUGCUGCAUGGCUGUCGUCAGCUCGUGUCGUGAGAUGUUGGGUUAAGUCCCGUAACGAGCGCAACCCUUGUCCUUAUUUGCCAGCGGAUCAUGCCGGGAACUUUAAGGAGACUGCCGGUGACAAACCGGAGGAAGGCGGGGAUGAGGUCAAGUCGUCAUGGCCCUUACGAGGUGGGCUGUAAACGUGCUACAAUGGGAGGCACAAAGGGCCGCGAUCCCGCGAGGGCGAGCCAAUCCCAAAAAACCUCUCGUAGUCCGGAUAGGAGUCUGCAACUCGACUCCUUGAAGUCGGAAUCGCUAGUAAUCGCGAAUCAGAAUGUCGCGGUGAAUACGUUCCCGGGCUUUGUACACACCGCCCGUCAAGUCAUGGAAGUAGGUUGCACCAGAAGUAGCUAGUCUAACUCUUCGGAGAGGACGGUACC
rnacentral:rRNA from 2 species